rnacentral:lncRNA from 12 species
AUGGUUACUAACAAAUCCCCUCGAAGUGAAAAUAAAUGUGUGCAGUCGCGUGACACCCUUCCUUUUUCUUCCUUCCCUAUGGCUGGGGCCCAUUUGGCACCAAGCAUCAUGCUGUCCAGAUGGUGGCCAUUUCUCUGCUCCUGCUUUAGCACAUUCUCUGCCAAGACUCUGAGUGCCAGUUUUCCGGUCAUCAGAGCCUGUGUGGCACUGCCCACAAGUCCUUGGUGGGUUCUGGAGCUGUCCAAGGUUCCAAAGUUCCAGGGAGGGAGCCUGCAGCAGUCAGAGGGCUCUGGGCUCUGCUUCAACUCAGUACUGUGAGCCACAUAUCAAAGCUACCAUCGUCAGAAGAAUCAGCCUUUUGAUUUUUGAUUUGUCAUCGUCAUACAAGAUAGGCCCAUCUUAAAAGAAGGGAUGAUGCGAUUGGAUGGAAAUAUGCAGCAGGGCUUGGGUGUUGGCCAAGACUCCCCUAGCUUUGCCAUCCAUCCCAGAGAUGUCAUCACCUAAAUAAAUACCUUGUACACAGUCA